CCGGCUAACUCCGUGCAGCAGCCGCGGUAAUACGGAGGGUGCGAGCGUUAAUCGGAAUUACUGGGCGUAAAGCGCAUGCAGGCGGCCUGUUAAGUCAGAUGUGAAAGCCCGGGGCUUAACCUCGGAAUUGCAUUUGAAACUGGCAGGCUAGAGUCUUGUAGAGGGGGGUAGAAUUUCAGGUGUAGCGGUGAAAUGCGUAGAGAUCUGAAGGAAUACCAGUGGCGAAGGCGGCCCCCUGGACAAAGACUGACGCUCAGAUGCGAAAGCGUGGGGAGCAAACAGGAUUAGAUACCCUGGUAGUCCACGCCGUAAACGAUGUCUACUUGGAGGUUGUGGCCUUGAGCCGUGGCUUUCGGAGCUAACGCGUUAAGUAGACCGCCUGGGGAGUACGGUCGCAAGAUUAAAACUCAAAUGAAUUGACGGGGGCCCGCACAAGCGGUGGAGCAUGUGGUUUAAUUCGAUGCAACGCGAAGAACCUUACCUACUCUUGACAUCCAGAGAA
rnacentral:rRNA from 1 species